rnacentral:rRNA from 1 species
CGGCAAAAGCUCAAAUUUGAAAUCUGGUACCUUCGGUGCCCGAGUUGUAAUUUGGAGAGGGCAACUUUGGGGCCGUUCCUUGUCUAUGUUCCUUGGAACAGGACGUCAUAGAGGGUGAGAAUCCCGUGUGGCGAGGAGUGCGGUUCUUUGUAAAGUGCCUUCGAAGAGUCGAGUUGUUUGGGAAUGCAGCUCUAAGUGGGUGGUAAAUUCCAUCUAAAGCUAAAUAUUGGCGAGAGACCGAUAGCGAACAAGUACAGUGAUGGAAAGAUGAAAAGAACUUUGAAAAGAGAGUGAAAAAGUACGUGAAAUUGUUGAAAGGGAAGGGCAUUUGAUCAGACAUGGUGUUUUGUGCCCUCUGCUCCUUGUGGGUAGGGGAAUCUCGCAUUUCACUGGGCCAGCAUCAGUUUUGGUGGCAGGAUAAAUCCAUAGGAAUGUAGCUUGCCUCGGUAAGUAUUAUAGCCUGUGGGAAUACUGCCAGCUGGGACUGAGGACUGCGACGUAAGUCAAGGAUGCUGGCAUAAUGGUUAUAUGCCGCCCGUCUUGAAACAGG